rfam:Planktomarina temperata RCA23, complete genome.
GUACCUACCUCGGGGCGCCCUUAUGGGCUGAGAUGCGAAAGCGAACCCGUAGAACCUGAACCGGCUAGUACCGGCGGAGGGAAGGUUUGGACGUCUCCA